AUGAUGCCCCGGGGGAGUCCAGGGAGUGGGGACCCCGUCCUGAGGGUCUCGGUCCCCCGGGGAGAGUCCUGGGAGCGGGGACCCCGUCCUGAGGGUCAUGGUCCCCCGGGGAGAGUCCAGGGAGCGGGGACCCCGACCUGUGGGUCUCGUUUUCCCGGGGAGAGUCCAGGGAGCGGGGACCCCGUCCUGAUGGUCAUGGUCCCCCGGGGGAGUCCAAGGAGCGGGGACCCCGUCCUGAGGGUCUCGGUCCCCGGGGGAGUCCAGGGAGCGGGGACCCUGUCCUGAGGGUCUGGGUCCCCCGGGGAGUCCAGGGAGCGGGGACCCCGUCCUGAGGGUCAUGAUGCCCCGGGGGAGUCCAGGGAGCGGGGACCCCGUCUGAGGUCUCGGUCCCCGGGGAGAGUCCAGGGAGCGGGGACCCCGUCCUGAGGGUCAUGAUGCCCCGGGGGAGUCCAGGGAGCGGGGACCCCGUCUGAGGUCUCGGUCCCCGGGGAGAGUCCAGGGAGCGGGGACCCCGUCCUGAGGGUCUCGGUCCCCCGGGGAGAGUCCAGGGAGCGGGGACCCCGUCCUGAGGGUCAUGGUCCCCCGGGGGAGUCCAGGGAGCGGGGACCCCGUCUGAGGUCUCGGUCCCCUGGGGAUCGUGCAGGGAGCGGGGACCCCGUCCUGAGGGUCUCGGUCCCCCGGGGAGAGUCCAGGGAGCGGGGACCCCGUCUGAGGUCUCGGUCCCCGGGGAGAGUCCAGGGAGCGGGGACCCCGUCCUGAGGUCUCGGUCCCCUGGGGAGAGUCCAGGGAGUGGGGACCCCGUCCUGAGGGUCUCGGUCCCCCGGGGAGAGUCCAGGGAGCGGGGACCCCGUCCGGAGGGUCUCGGUCCCCUGGGGAUCGUGCAGGGAGCGGGGACCCCGUCCUGAGGGUCUCGGUCCCCCGGGGAGAGUCCAGGGAGCGGGGACCCCGUCCUGAGGGUCAUGGUCCCCCGGGGAGAGUCCAGGGAGCGGGGACCCAGUCCUGAGGUCUCGGUCCCCCGGGGAGAGUCCAGGGAGUGGGGACCCCGUCCUGAGGGUCUCGGUCCCCCGGGAGAGUCCAGGGAGCGGGGACCAGUCCUGAGGUCUCGGUCCCCGGGGAGAGUCAGGGAGCGGGGACCCCGUCCUGAGGGUCUCGGU
rnacentral:lncRNA from 12 species